AGUGAACGCUGGCGGCGUGCUUAACACAUGCAAGUCGAACGAGAACGGGUUAUAGCUUGCUAUAAUUGUCAGCUAAGUGGCGCACGGGUGAGUAAUGUAUAGGUAAUAUGCCUCUUACUAAGGGAUAACAAAUGGAAACGUUUGCUAAUACCUUAUACUCCGUAUUAACAUAAGUUAAUAAGGGACAGACUUAUUGGUAAGAGAUUAGCCUUUAUUGUAUCAGUUAGUUGGUGGGGUAAUGGCUUACCAAGACUAUGACACAUAACUGGUUUGAGAGGAUGAGCAGUCACGCUGGAACUGAGACACGGUCCAGACUCCUACGGGAGGCAGCAGUGGGGAAUAUUGCACAAUGGACGAAAGUCUGAUGCAGCAACGCCGCGUGGAGGAUGACACAUUUCGGUGCGUAAACUCCUUUUAUAUGAGAAGAUAAUGACGGUAUUAUAUGAAUAAGCACCGGCUAACUCCGUGCCAGCCGCCGCCGUAA
rnacentral:rRNA from 1 species